AUCGCUUCUUGGCCUUUUGGCUAAGAUCCAGUGUAGUAUCUGUUCUUAUCAGUUUAAUAUCGGAUAUGUCCUCCACCCGAGACAAUAUAUUAAAUGGAUUUUUGCAGCAGGAAGUUGGGAGUAGGAGCUUGCUCCGUCCACUUCACAUAUCAGCCUGGUAUUGCAGGACUUCCGGGAACAGUGCACACCUU